GACGAACGCUGGCGGCGUGCCUAAUACAUGCAAGUCGAACGCAGUGGGGACUGGUGCGUAACACGUGGGUAACCUCCCCAUCAGAGGGGAUAACACUUGGAAACAGGUGCUAAACCGAUACUGCUGGAUGGCCCCGCGGUUCAUUAGCUAGUUGGUGGGGUAACGGCUCACCAAGGCCACGAUCCAUAGCCGACCUGAGAGGGUGAUCGGCCACACGGGGACUGAGACAGGGCCCAGACUCCUACGGGAGGAAGCAGGAGGGAAUCUUCGGCAAUGGACGAAAGUCUGACCGAGCAAGGACGCGUGAGUGAAGAAGGUUUUCGGAUCGUAAAACUCUGUUGUUAGAGAAGCGGUAUCUAACAAGAAAGCCACGGCUAACUACGUGCCAGCAGCCGCGGUAAUAC
rnacentral:rRNA from 1 species